GACGAACGCUGGCGGCGUGCUUAACACAUGCAAGUCGAACGGAAAGGCCCCCACUUUUUUGGUGGGGGUGCUCGAGUGGCGAACGGGUGAGUAACACGUGGGUGAUCUGCCCUGUACUUCGGGAUAAGCUUGGGAAACUGAGUCUAAUACCGGAUAGGACCAUGGUUUAGUGUCUCAUGGUGGAAAAAUUAUUGUUUUGGUGCAGGAUGAGCUCGCGGCCUAUCAGCUUGUUGGUGGGGUAAUGGCCUACCAAGGCGUCGACGGGUAGCCGGCCUGAGAGGGUGGACGGCCACAUUGGGACUGAGAUACGGCCCAGACUCCUACGGGAGGCAGCAGUGGGGAAUAUUGCACAAUGGGCGCAAGCCUGAUGCAGCGACGCCGCGUGGGGGAUGACGGCCUUCGGGUUGUAAACUCCUUUCGUUAGGGACGAAGCCGCACCUUUUUUGGGUGUGGUGACGGUACCUUUGUUAAGAAGCACCGGCUAACUACGUG
rnacentral:rRNA from 1 species